AGUAACUUUACCAAAUCCGAUAAUAACAGCAAAUAUCUCAAAUGAAUUAUGUAUAAUAUGCAAUAUAUACAUGGAAUUCAAUGUACACCAAACAAACUAAAAAUUAAGCGAUGAUUACGUAUAGGAAUAGAGCACAAAUAUGAUAGAAACGUUAGAUUCCAUUAUAACGUAUCAUAAUGCAUCAUUAUCAAAUGACCACGUGGUUAAAAAAAUAUUCACCAUCAAGAUCCAAGGUGAAUAUAAAACUUGGAAUAAUACGUUUCGCAAUAUGAACAACAAUAUAUGUACAUAUCGCUAACUGUACAAUUUUGCUGUACAAAGUAUAUGGACGAACAGUAAAAGUUACAUUACAUAUAUAAUUCACGAUGUACACAACAUUCGCUGCAGAAAUCAUGAAUUUAAAAACAUAUUAU